GGACAACCUGCCCUUAGGUCGGGUAUAAACCCGGGAAACUGGGUAUAAUCCCCGAUAGGUCUCGGCUGCUGGAAUGCACCGAGAUUUAAAGCUCCGGCGCCUAAGGAUGGGUCUGCGGCCUAUCAGGUAGUAGUGGGUGUAGCGUACCUACUAGCCUACGACGGGUACGGGUUGUGAGAGCAAGAGCCCGGAGAUGGAUUCUGAGACACGAAUCCAGGCCCUACGGGGUGCAGCAGGCGCGAAAACUUUACAAUGCUGGCAACAGCGAUAAGGGAACCUCGAGUGCCAGGUUACAAAUCUGGCUGUCGAGAUGCCUAAAAAGCAUUUCAUAGCAAGGGCCGGGCAAGACCGGUGCCAGCCGCCGCGGUAACACCGGCGGCUCGAGUGGUAACCGUUAUUAUUGGGUCUAAAGGGUCUGUAGCCGGCCGGAUAAGUCUCUUGAGAAAUCUGGCAGCUUAACUGUCAGGCUUUCAGGAGAUACUGUCUGGCUCGAGGCCGGGAGAGGUGAGAGGUACUUCAGGGGUAGGGGUGAAAUCUUGUAAUCCUUGAAGGACCACCAGUGGCGAAGGCGUCUCACCAGAACGGACCUGACGGCAAGGGACGAAAGCUAGGGGCACGAACCGGAUUAGAUACCCGGGUAGUCCUAGCCGUAAACGAUACUCGCUAGGUGUCGGCCACGGUGCGACCGUUGUCGGUGCCGUAGGGAAGCCGUGAAGCGAGCCACCUGGGAAGUACGGCCGCAAGGCUGAAACUUAAAG
rnacentral:rRNA from 1 species